UACGUAGGGUGCAAGCGUUUGUCCGGAAUUAUUGGGCGUAAAGAGCUCGUAGGCGGUUUGUUGCGUCGGCUGUGAAAUCCCGAGGCUCAACCUCGGGUCUGCAGUCGAUACGAGCAAACUAGAGUGUUGCAGGGGAGACUGGAAUUCCUGGUGUAGCGGUGAAAUGCGCAGAUAUCAGGAGGGAACACCGGUGGCGAAGGCGGGUCUCUGGGCAACAACUGACGCUGGAGGAGCGAAAGCGUGGGGGAGCGAACAGG
rnacentral:rRNA from 1 species